rnacentral:lncRNA from 1 species
CUUGGAGCCGAUGCUGAAUUCACUUUAAAAGGCCCCCCAGCUCUCAGCGAGGCUCAGUCUCUUGCACACCCACUGCUCACCUCGUCGCGUCCCAACACGGAAGACUCAGUUGCUUUGUGAGUAUUUUAGGUCGUUUUUCUCAACUCCUCAAGCUCAAAAAAAUAAAAUUAAAAGCCCCC